rnacentral:rRNA from 1 species
AGAGUUUGAUCAUGGCUCAGGAUGAACGCUAGCGAUAGGCUUAACACAUGCAAGUCGAGGGGCAGCACGGUGUAGCAAUACACUGGUGGCGACCGGCGUACGGGUGCGUAACACGUAUGCAACCUACCCGCUAUUGGGGGAUAACCCGGCGAAAGUCGGACUAAUACCCCAUAUUAUUCUUACCGGGCAUCCGGUAGGUCUGAAAGAUUUAUCGAUUGCGGAUGGGCAUGCGGAUGAUUAGCUAGUAGGUGGGGUAACGGCUCACCUAGGCGACGAUCAUUAGGGGUUCUGAGAGGAAGGUCCCCCACACUGGAACUGAGACACGGUCCAGACUCCUACGGGAGGCAGCAGUGAGGAAUAUUGGUCAAUGGGCGCUAGCCUGAACCAGCCAAGUCGCGUGAAGGAUGACAGAUCUAUGGUUUGUAAACUUCUUUUGCAGGGGAGUAAAGUGCGACACGUGUGUUGUAUUGCAAGUACCCUGCGAAUAAGCAUCGGCUAACUCCGUGCCAGCCGCAGC